rnacentral:piRNA from 1 species
UAGGCAAACCAGAAGGUGAUGAGAAGGG